UGCAUUCUAUAGGCUUGGUCGAGUUUGUCCAGGGGACAGAAUGGAGCUUGCUCCCUGAGAUGUUAGCGGCGGACGGGUGAGUAACACGUGGGUAACCUGCCUGUAAGACUGGGAUAACUCCGGGAAACCGGAGCUAAUACCGGAUAGUUCCUUGAACCGCAUGGUUCAAGGAUGAAAGACGGUUUCGGCUGUCACUUACAGAUGGACCCGCGGCGCAUUAGCUAGUUGGUGGGGUAAUGGCUCACCAAGGCGACGAUGCGUAGCCGACCUGAGAGGGUGAUCGGCCACACUGGGACUGAGACAAGGCACCCCCUAGAUUCAACUACCGGGAGGCCAUGCAAGUACCGUAUCUUGCGACAACUGGACGAAAGUCUGACCGGAGCAACCGGCCGCGUGAGUGAUGAACGUUUUCGGAUCGUAAAGCUCUGGUGAUAGGUAGGAAACAAGUGCGACGAGUCACUGCUCGCACCUUGAACGGUUACCUAACCAGAAAGCCUCGGCUAACUCACGUCCCAGCAGCCGCGGUAAUACGUAGGUGACAAGCCGUUGUCCAGGAAUUAUUGGGCGUAAAGGGCUCGCGAGACGGUUUUCUUAAGUCUGAUGUGAAAAGCCCCCGGCUCAACCCGGGGAGGGUCAUUGGAAACUGGGAAACUUGAGUGCAGAAGAGGAGAGUGGAAUUCCACGUGUAGCGGUGAAAUGCGUAGAGAUGUGGAGGAACACCAGUGGCGAAGGCGACUCUCUGGUCUGUAACUGACGCUGAGGAGCGAAAGCGUGGGGAGCGAACAGGAUUAGAUACCCUGGUAGUGCACGCCGUAAACGAUGAGUGCUAAGUGUUAGGGGGUUUCCGCCUCUUAGUGCUGCAGCUAACGCAUUAAGCACUUCGCCUAGGGGAGUACAGGUCGCAAGACUGAAACUCAAAGGAAUUGACGGGGGACCGCCCAAGGCGGUGAAGCAUGGCGGUUUAAUUCGAAGCAACGCGAAGAAACUUACCAGGUCUUGACACCCUCUGACCACCUCAGAGAUACGGCUUUCCCCUCUAGGACAGAGUGACAGGUUGUGCAUGCUGAGCGUCAGGCUCGUGUCCUGAGUAUGUGGGUCUAAGUCCUGCAACGAGGCGCAACCCCCGAUCCGAGAGCUUGCCCAGCUGUCAGCUGGGCACACUCUAAGGUGAACUCUCAGUGACCCACUGGACGAAAACCGGUGGGGAUGACGUAUGAAAUCAAGACUGCACCCUUAUUAUGACCUGGGCCACACACGUGCGACCACCCUCAGAACAAAGGGCUGCAAGACCGCAAGGUUUAGCCAAUCCCAUAAAUCUGUUCUCAGUUCGGAUCGCAGUCUGCAACUCGACUGCGUGAAGCUGGAAUCGCUAGUAAUCGCGGAUCAGCAUGCCGCGGUGAAUACGUUCCCGGGCCUUGUACACACCGCCCGUCACACCACGAGAGUUUGCAACACCCGAAGUCGGUGAGGUAACCUUUAUGGAGCCAGCACGCCGAACGCGUGGGUGCAGGAUGGAGGACCUACCUAAGACGUCAGAGUCCA
rnacentral:rRNA from 1 species